UACGGAGGGGGCAAGCGUUGUUCGGAUUUACUGGGCGUAAAGGGUCCGUAGGCGGUUGCGUAAGUCUGGCGUGAAAUCUUCACCGCUCAACGGGAAGAGGCCGCUGGAAACUGCGCAACUUGAGUAUGGUAGAGGCAAGCGGAAUUCCUGGUGUAGCGGUGGAAUGUGUAGAUAUCAGGAAGAACAUCUGUGGCGAAGGCGGCUUGCUGGGCCAUUACUGACGCUGAGGGACGAAAGCGUGGGGAGCAAA
rnacentral:rRNA from 1 species